GUUUGAUCCUGGCUCAGGAUGAACCCUAGCGGCAGGCUUAACACAUGCAAGUCGAGGGGUAUAGUUCUUCGGAACUAGAGACCGGCGCACGGGUGCGUAACGCGUAUGCAAUCUACCUUUCACAGAGGGGUAGCCCAGAGAAAUUUGGAUUAAUACCUCAUAGUAUGUAUGAAUGGCAUCAUUUAUACAUUAAAGUCACAACGGUGAAAGAUGAGCAUGCGUCCCAUUAGCUAGAUGGUAAGGUAACGGCUUACCAUGGCAACGAUGGGUAGGGGUCCUGAGAGGGAGAUCCCCCACACUGGUACUGAGACACGGACCAGACUCCUACGGGAGGCAGCAGUGAGGAAUAUUGGACAAUGGGCGCAAGCCUGAUCCAGCCAUGCCGCGUGCAGGAUGACGGUCCCAUGGAUUGUAAACUGCUUUUGUACAGGAAGAAACACUGGUUCGUGAACCAGCUUGACGGUACUGUAAGAAUAAGGAUCGGCUAACUCCGUGCCAGCAGCCGCGGUAAUACGGAGGAUCCAAGCGUUAUCCGGAAUCAUUGGGUUUAAAGGGUCCGUAGGCGGUCAGAUAAGUCAGUGGUGAAAGCCCAUCGCUCAACGGUGGAACGGCCAUUGAUACUGUCUGACUUGAAUUAUUAGGAAGUAACUAGAAUAUGUAGUGUAGCGGUGAAAUGCUUAGAGAUUACAUGGAAUACCAAUUGCGAAGGCAGGUUACUACUAAUGGAUUGACGCUGAUGGACGAAAGCGUGGGUAGCGAACAGGAUUAGAUACCCUGGUAGUCCACGCCGUAAACGAUGGAUACUAGCUGUUGGGAGCAAUCUCAGUGGCUAAGCGAAAGUGAUAAGUAUCCCACCUGGGGAGUACGUUCGCAAGAAUGAAACUCAAAGGAAUUGACG
rnacentral:rRNA from 1 species